CUACGGGGUGCAGCAGUGGGGAAUAUUGCACAAUGGGCGCAAGCCUGAUGCAGCCAUGCCGCGUGUAUGAAGAAGGCCUUCGGGUUGUAAAGUACUUUCAGCGGGGAGGAAGGGAGUAAAGUUAAUACCUUUGCUCAUUGACGUUACCCGCAGAAGAAGCACCGGCUAACUCCGUGCCAGCAGCCGCGGUAAUACGGAGGGUGCAAGCGGUAAUCGGAAUUACUGGGCGUAAAGCGCACGUAGGCGGUUUGUUAAGUCAGAUGUGAAAUCCCCGGGCUCAACCUGGGAACUGCAUCUGAUACUGGCAAGCUUGAGUGUGCUAGAGGGGGGUGGAAUUCCAGGUGUAGCGGUGAUAUGCGUAGAGAUCUGGAGGAAUACCGGUGGCGAAGGCGGCCCCCUGGACGAAGACUGACGCUCAGGUGCGAAAGCGUGGGGAGCAAACAGGAUUAGAUACCCCGGUAGUC
rnacentral:rRNA from 1 species